AGAGUUUGAUCCUGGCUCAGAUUGAACGCUGGCGGCGUGCCUUACACAUGCAAGUCGAACGGCAGCACGAGAGCUUGCUCUUGGUGGCGAGUGGCGAACGGGUGAGUAAUAUAUCGGAACGUACCCUAGAGUGGGGGAUAACGUAGCGAAAGUUACGCUAAUACCGCAUACGAUCUACGGAUGAAAGUGGGGGAUCGCAAGACCUCAUGCUCAUGGAGCGGCCGAUAUCUGAUUAGCUAGUUGGUGGGGUAAAAGCUCACCAAGGCGACGAUCAGUAGCUGGUCUGAGAGGACGACCAGCCACACUGGAACUGAGACACGGUCCAGACUCCUACGGGAGGCAGCAGUGGGGAAUUUUGGACAAUGGGCGCAAGCCUGAUCCAGCAAUGCCGCGUGAGUGAAGAAGGCCUUCGGGUUGUAAAGCUCUUUUGUCAGGGAAGAAACGGUGGACUUUAAUACAGAUCACUAAUGACGGUACCUGAAGAAUAAGCACCGGCUAACUACGUGCCAGCAGCCGCGGUAAUACGUAGGGUGCAAGCGUUAAUCGGAAUUACUGGGCGUAAAGCGUGCGCAGGCGGUUGUGCAAGACAGAUGUGAAAUCCCCGGGCUCAACCUGGGAAUUGCAUUUGUGACUGCACGGCUAGAGUGUGUCAGAGGGGGGUAGAAUUCCACGUGUAGCAGUGAAAUGCGUAGAGAUGUGGAGGAAUACCGAUGGCGAAGGCAGCCCCCUGGGAUAACACUGACGCUCAUGCACGAAAGCGUGGGGAGCAAACAGGAUUAGAUACCCUGGUAGUCCACGCCCUAAACGAUGUCUACUAGUUGUCGGGUCUUAAUUGACUUGGUAACGCAGCUAACGCGUGAAGUAGACCGCCUGGGGAGUACGGUCGCAAGAUUAAAACUCAAAGGAAUUGACGGGGACCCGCACAAGCGGUGGAUGAUGUGGAUUAAUUCGAUGCAACGCGAAAAACCUUACCUACCCUUGACAUGUCUGGAAUCCUUGAGAGAUCAGGGAGUGCUCGAAAGAGAAUCAGAACACAGGUGCUGCAUGGCUGUCGUCAGCUCGUGUCGUGAGAUGUUGGGUUAAGUCCCGCAACGAGCGCAACCCUUGUCAUUAGUUGCUACGAAAGGGCACUCUAAUGAGACUGCCGGUGACAAACCGGAGGAAGGUGGGGAUGACGUCAAGUCCUCAUGGCCCUUAUGGGUAGGGCUUCACACGUCAUACAAUGGUACAUACAGAGGGCCGCCAACCCGCGAGGGGGAGCUAAUCCCAGAAAGUGUAUCGUAGUCCGGAUUGUAGUCUGCAACUCGACUACAUGAAGUUGGAAUCGCUAGUAGUCGCGGAUCAGCAUGUCGCGGUGAAUACGUUCCCGGGUCUUGUACACACCGCCCGUCACACCAUGGGAGCGGGUUUCACCAGAAGUGGGUAGCCUAACCGCAAGGAGGGCGCUCACCACGGUGGGAUUCGUGACUGGGGUGAAGUCGUAACAAGGUA
rnacentral:rRNA from 1 species